GGGCUGUUAACUCAGUCGGUUUAGAGUGCUAUCUUCACAGGGUAGAAGUCACUGGUUCGAGUCCAGUACAGCCCA
rnacentral:tRNA from 1 species